rnacentral:rRNA from 1 species
GCCUGCCCAGUGACAUCGUUUAACGGCCUCGGUACCCUAACCGCGCGAAGGUAGCAUAAUCACUUGUUCUUUAAAUAGGGACUUGUAUCAACGGCACCACGAGGGCUAAGCUGUCUCCCCUCUCCAAUCAAUGAACCUGAUCUCUUCGUGAAGAAGCGAAGAUUCGCAUAUAAGACGAGAAGACCCCAUGGAGCUUAAGACCAAAUAGCACCUUUCUACCCACAAAACUUAAUAAAUAGUAAGCCUGUUAACUAGUUUUCGGCUGGGGCAUCCGAGGAGUAUAACACAACCUCCCUGACAGACAUCUAAGAGCCACAACUCUAUGGGGCAGUAAACUGAUCUAAAAUGACCCGACUCAACUCGAUCAACGAACCAAGUUACCCUGGGGAUAACAGCGCAAUCC